UCGCCAAAUAAUUUUGGGGAAUUUUCAAUC
rnacentral:piRNA from 1 species